ensembl:lncRNA NR2F1-AS1 NR2F1 antisense RNA 1
GGGUAGCUGGAACUACAGGCGCCAGCCACUACGCCAGGCUAAUUUUUUGUAUUGUUAGUAGAGAUGGGGUUUCACCGUCUUAGCCAGGCUGGUGUCAAACUCCUGACCUCGUGAUCCGCCCACCUCAGCUUCCCAAAGUGCUGGGAUUACAGGCAUGAGCCACUGCACCCGGCCUGGUAGUUGUGUUUUAAUAAGCAGACCAGCAGGUAGAUGAAACUCAAGAGAAAAGGUGUGGAUAAAUGAAACUAGCCCAUGAUGAACCUGUUUUCUCCGUGACCACAAUAUUAACCAGGAUGAAUGGCGGUGGCAGUGGGCCUGCAUCACAGGUUGCAGCAGAUGUUCUCAAUAUUUCUAUUAAAAUUUCCUUAUUUCCAUAUGCAAGAGGAGCCCCAGAGCUGCAUCCUUAUGGUAGCUACCAUGCCGUGAUGUAAGCUGCCAUUCACUGGGGAGCUUUGGCAAUAGAAUUGGCUAGAUCAGGAAGCCUAUGUCAACUAUGGAACAACAACUUGCAGCUCAUCUCUAUUGAUGAUACACUGCCUCUAGGACUGGGACAGAUAGCCACUGAGUACCUGCUUCAAAUCACCCUGCACGUUUUCUCUUUGGAAAGAUAAGCACUGGAGAACCAUCUCGUUACCUUCAGCAGAAAUGGAAACAAAUCAAGACAUUAAGAAUGCCGCAGUGGACAGCAGUUAUGCAAGGUUCAGCAGAGGAAGUUUUCAAGAUGGUGUGCCUCACUAGCCAGAAAUCAGAAAAGAUCGAAGCUAGCCUUUUCAUCUCAGCUGCUCCUUAAAUCAGUGCAACCCCUCCAAAUUAAUGUGAAUUGAAACUUGCAUUGCUUUUCAACUUAAUUGAAUACUUACUAUAUGUGAACCACUGCACAAAAUAGGGGAAGAAGAUGUGGGAGACAAAGAUGUGGAGCCUGUCUUCAAUAAAUUUACAGUUAGUUUCAGGGUACAUUGUUUUUCUUCUGCUGUUAAUUAGGUGUAUCCCCAAGACAAUAAAUACAUGAAUGGAAAAGUAUAUUCUGUGUUUUAAGUCUCUUUAAUAAAAAACAAAACAAAAUCCAAAAAAACUCCUAACAUGGCAACUCAGGACAUUUUAAUCCUUUUUUUUGUUGUUGGGCUUCUGAUAGGAUCCAUUUUAUUGAUUCCAUAAAUAUUUAGUAGACUUUAGACAUAUUAAUACAUUGUAGUUUGAGUUAAUUUGCAUUAAAUUCUGUUUUUUUCCCCUUAGGUAUAGAUUGUCUGUUGGAAAAAUAUAUUGCUUGUGGAUUUCUUGGGGAGUGGGAAGGUGAAUUAUACCUGUUGUCUCUACAGUCCACUACCUUCCACACCCUAGGGCAGUGGUCCCCAACCUUCUUGGCACCAGGGAUCAGUUUCCUGGAAGACAAUUUUUCUGUGGAUGGUGUGGGGAUGGUUUUGGGAUGGAACUGUUCCACCUCAGAUCAUCAGGCAUUAGUUAGGCUCUCAUAACGAGUGCGCAGCCUAGAUCCCUCACAUGCACAGUUCACAGUAGGGUUUGCGCUGCUAUGAGAAUCUAAGGCUGCCACUGAUCUGACAGGAGGCAGAACUCAGGUGGCAAUGCUUACUGGCCCACUGCUCACCUCUUGCUGUGCGGCCUGGUUCCUAAUAGGCCAUGGACCCCCACAGACGGGUACUAGUCUGCAGCCUGUGGACCCCAGCCCUAGGGGCCUGCCAUUCUGAGUGAGUUAUUAGCAUGAAGAAGAGGAAGAUCUGGAUCAAACGUGGGUGAUGGUACUCAGAGACCCAAGAUAGGAUAGGGAUGGAACAAAAUCCAUCUGGGCAACGGCUCUAUGAAAAUUUGGCUAAGUAAUUAUUUCAGUAUUCAUUGUAUUCAUUGUCCUUCGUGUUCCAUAAGUUAAAUGACUGUCUAAUUUUUCCAAAAAUUUAUUUCUGACUUGAGAAUAAGUGUGUCAUGAUUUUCCCAGUGUAAAGACACUGAUAUAACUGUAGAUACCAGACAUUUUAUGUAGUGUCUAUGACACAUUUUAGUAUGUAUGAGCCAACAAUAGACAUGUCUUUGUCUUGAGGAGUGUCCAUCUGAAUUGAAAAUGUGUCAGCUUUUUUUUAACAUCAUCAACAGACUUCUUAAUUAAGCUGCCAAUACAUACUGCCAAUAGCACUGUGUGCUGUCUGAGAAAUGCAUUGUGUAAGUGCUAUUUCCAUCUUAUUAAAUAAACAAUGUUGCUCUGUAUAAACUGGAUUUAAAGUGUUCUUUGAAUGAGGCAUUAUAUUGCUCCAUAAAUAAUGUGAUGUGAAUUCUCAUAUGAUCCCUUUUAACUUAAUUUCUAAAAAAAUAUUAUUUGCUCCUCAGUAAGGAAUAGCUCUAAUUGGACUGGUAACUUUAGUGAUAUGAUUUGUCUGUAACAGGCUGAAUCGCCCCACUCCCAAACUCCUGGUCGUGAUACUGGAUAUUUGUUAUGCCACUUUUAGUUUGCAUGAGGUAUCUUCCAGGAAGUAUUAGUUAUUAACUUGUGUUCUACUAAACUGUAGAUAUUUAUUUCCUGUUCUGGAAGAUUUCUUGGAGUGUCCAUCUGUGCAUUCCUGGUGCCUAGUGUAGUCUUGCUAAUGGAAUAGCACCUUUAUUGGUGCUACUUAGGGGUUGGUAGCUUACAAUCAAUCUACUUGGAACGUAUCCAAAUAAACUGGAU